rnacentral:rRNA from 1 species
UGGGGAAUAUUGCACAAUGGGCGCAAGCCUGAUGCAGCCAUGCCGCGUGUGUGAAGAAGGCCUUCGGGUUGUAAAGCACUUUCAGCGAGGAGGAAGGGUAGUGUGUUAAUAGCACAUUGCAUUGACGUUACUCGCAGAAGAAGCACCGGCUAACUCCGUGCCAGCAGCCGCGGUAAUACGGAGGGUGCAAGCGUUAAUCGGAAUUACUGGGCGUAAAGCGCACGCAGGCGGUUUGUUAAGUCAGAUGUGAAAUCCCCGCGCUUAACAUGGGAACUGCAUUUGAAACUGGCAAGCUAGAGUCUUGUAGAGGGGGGUAGAAUUCCAGGUGUAGCGGUGAAAUGCGUAGAGAUCUGGAGGAAUACCGGUGGCGAAGGCGGCCCCCUGGACAAAGACUGACGCUCAGGUGCGAAAGCGUGGGGAGCAAACA